UACGUAGGUGGCAAGCGUUGUCCGGAUUUAUUGGGUUUAAAGGGUGCGUAGGCGGCCCUGUAAGUCAGUGGUGAAAUAUCUCAGCUUAACUGAGAGGGUGCCAUUGAUACUGCGGGGCUUGAGUACAGAUGAGGUAGGCGGAAUUGACGGUGUAGCGGUGAAAUGCAUAGAUAUCGUCAAGAACACCGAUAGCGAAGGCAGCUUACCAAGCUGUAACUGACGCUGAGGCACGAAAGUGUGGGGAUCAAACAGG
rnacentral:rRNA from 1 species